GAGAAUUCUUACUUUUACAUUUGUUCCCUUUAAAUAUCUUGUAUUGAGCUGAGCAGAAGAAAAACCUCAGGAAUUUUCUGCUUCUAGUACAUAAAGCUGGGAAGAGAACAUUGCUUUUCCUCGCCGCUUUCAGCUACAAGUGCUACUGCAAGAGAGCUAGCGCAAAGCCCGCGGGAUCGAGGGGUAGCACUGCCCAGCCUGCUCACCUGGCCCUGGCCGAAGAGUUACGGCCUCAUGCGAGUAAUGCUGUCCGACGGAACAACCUGAACAUACCUUCUCCUUUUCUUUUCCUUCAAAAAGAAAAGUUCCCUCAGAGAAGCUCAAGCAAUUGAUGGAAACCAAGAACCAACUUCAGAUCCGCGUAUAGCACUCCCACCAAAUGUCAGAAAGAAACGUCUGAAGCACCGAAGAGAGCUGUCUUGGUUUGCCGGAUGCAGGCGUAAAUCUGUCUGUCUGGGGGCUGGUGUGGACAGUGCAGAGAACCCUGAGACAAGGAGGUGAUGCCACAGGUGACUUUGAAGUGAGCCUGCAAAGUGUAAUCCACAGGAAGCACAUAGGUGAAAAACUGGUCAGGAGUCACACAGGGGAAAAAAAUUAGCCCACUCUAAACUCAAGGAAACAACUUUAAAAUGAUCGUACACAGGGAAGUUUAAAAUAUGGGGAAAUUUCUUCAGUUACAAACUGCUGACAAGCCCAAUAGGAAUGGAGCUGACACAUGGGUCCCAGUUGGCAAACAUAUAUAGGCCACUAAGGAUCUGUACUAAAUCACUUUUAGUGCCAGAAACAGACUAGAAAAAGAAAAAAAAAAAAAUUGAAGUUUUUCCAGAUGAAGUGAUGUGCUCACGAAAUACAAUAGCAACAACUUUCUCUGUAACCUUCAAGAAAAUAGUGUCUGAAAUGGUGCUAGCAAUUAAUGGAGAUCAGGUUCAAUUGGUUGGAUCUACUUUACAUUGGCAGCACAGAGAAGUUUGCAGGCUAAGUGAUUGAUUUGCCAGUAUUUCAGUUAAAGUACUGAAAUGGACACAAAUGAUUCCUUUGAUCUCUGAAGCAAUCAAUAAAGAUAAGCUAAAGUUAAAAAAA